AUUGAACGCUUGCGGCAGGCCUAACACAUGCAAGUCGAGCGAGCGGCGGCCGGGUGAGUAAUGUAUGGGGACUGCCCGAUAGAGGUGGCUAACUACUGGAAACGGUAGCUAAUACCGCAUACUAUACGCUAACCAAUAUGGGAGUAGCUAGUAGGUGAGGUAAUGGCUCACCUAGGCGACGAUCCCUAGCUGGUCUGAGAUGAUGAUCAGCAACACGGAGAGGGAGACACGGCCGAGAAUGCUACGGAGUCAGCAGUGGGGAAUAUUGCAGAAUGGGCGCAAGCCUGAUGCAGCCAUGCCGCGGGUGUGAUGAAGGCCCUAGGGUUUUAAAGUACUUUCAGUCGUGAGGCGUUACCGACAGAAGAAGCACCGGCUAACUCCGUGCCAGCCGCGGCGGUAAUAC
rnacentral:rRNA from 1 species